AGCGAACGCUGGCGGCGUGCUUAACACAUGCAAGUCGAGCGAGAAAGGGGGCUUCGGCCCCUGAGUACAGCGGCGAACGGGUGCGUAAUACAUGAGCAAUCUACCCUUGAGGCGGGAAUAACCCAGCGAAAGUUGGGCUAAUACCGGAUAAGACCACAAGAGGAAACCCUAGAGGUCAAAGGCAGUUCUCUUUUGGGGGCGGCCCUUCGAGGAGGAGCUCAUGUCCUAUCGGCUAGUUGGAGGGUAACGGCCUACCAAGGCGAAGACGGGUAGCUGGUCUUAGAGGAUGAUCAGCCACACGGGGACUGAGACACGGCCCCGACUCCUACGGGAGGCAGCAGUGGGGAAUAUUGGGCAAUGGGCGAAAGCCUGACCCAGCGACGCCGCGUGGGUGAUGAAGGCC
rnacentral:rRNA from 1 species